rnacentral:rRNA from 1 species
CCGACUGCUAUCAGAGUGGGACUAAGCCAUGCGAGUUGACGUAGUAAUACGUAGCGAACGGCUCAGUAACACGUAGUCAACAUGCCCAGGGGACGUGGAUAACCUCGGGAAACUGAGAAUAAACCGCGAUAGGUCACAAUUUCUGGAAUGGAUUUUGGCUUAAAUCUACAUGGCCCCUGGAUUGGACUGCGGCCGAUCAGGCUGUUGGUGAGGUAAUGGCCCACCAAACCUGUAACCGGUACGGGCUCUGAGAGGAGGAGCCCGGAGAUGGGCACUGAGACAAGGGCCCAGGCCCUAUGGGGCGCAGCAGGCGCGAAACCUCUGCAAUGGGCGAAAGCCUGACAGGGUUACUCUGAGUGAUUUCCGCUAAGGGGAUCUUUUGACACCUCUAAAAAUGGUGUAGAAUAAGGGGUGGGCAAGUCUGGUGUCAGCCGCCGCGGUAAUACCAGCACCCCGAGUGGUCGGGACGAUUAUUGGGCCUAAAGCAUCCGUAGCCGGUUCUGCAAGUCUUCCGUUAAAUCCAGCCGCUCAACGGAUGGGCUGCGGAAGAUACUAUAGGACUAGGAGGCGGGAGAGGCAAGCGGUACUCAGUGGGUAGGGGUAAAAUCCUUUGAUCCAUUGAAGACCACCAGUGGCGAAGGCGGCUUGCCAGAACGCGCUCGACGGUGAGGGAUGAAAGCUGGGGGAGCAAACCGGAUUAGAUACCCGGGUAGUCCCAGCUGUAAACGAUGCAGACUCGGUGAUGGGCCAGCCUUGUGCUAGCCCAGUGCCGCAGGGAAGCCGUUAAGUCUGCCGCCUGGGGAGUACGGUCGCAAGACUGAAACUUAAAGGAAUUGGCGGGGGAGCACCCACAGGGGUGAAGCCUGCG